rnacentral:rRNA from 1 species
CGUAGGUAAUCUACCCUCUGGCGGGGGACAACAUUCCGAAAGGAAUGCUAAUACCGCAUAAGACCACGCUCACUGCGGUGAAAGCGGUUAAAGGUGCCUCAAAGCACCACCAGAGGAUGAGCCUGCGUCCCAUCAGCUAGUUGGUGAGGUAACGGCUUACCAAGGCGAAGACGGGUAGCUGGUCUGAGAGGAUGAUCAGCCACACUGGCACUGGAACACGGGCCAG